rnacentral:rRNA from 1 species
GACGAACGCUGGCGGCGUGCCUAAUACAUGCAAGUAGAACGCUGAAGGAGGAGCUUACUUCUCUGGAUGAGUUGCGAACGGGUGAGUAACGCGUAGGUAACCUGCCUGGUAGCGGGGGAUAACUAUUGGAAACGAUAGCUAAUACCGCAUAAGAGUAGAUGUUGCAUGACAUUUACUUAAAAGGUGCAAUUGCACCACUACCAGAUGGACCUGCGUUGUAUUAGCUAGUUGGUGGGGUAACGGCUUACCAAGGCGACGAUACAUAGCCAACCCGGGAGGGUGAUCAGCCACACUGGGACUGAGACACGGCCCAGACGCCUACGGGAGGCAGCAGUAGGGAAUCUUCGGCAAUGGACGGAAGUCUGACCGAGCAACGACGCGUGAGUGAAGAAGGUUUUCGGAUCGUAAAGCUCUGUUGUAAGAGAAGAACGAGUGUGAGAGUGGAAAGUUCACACUGUGACGGUAUCUUACCAGAAAGGGACGGCUAACUACGUGCCAGCCGCCGCGGUAA